rnacentral:rRNA from 1 species
CGGCAAAAGCUCAAAUUUGAAAUCUGGCUUUGUAUCAAAGUCCGAGUUGUAAUUUGUAGAGGAAACUUUGGUGCGGCCUUGGUCUAAGUUCCUUGGAACAGGACAUCACAGAGGGUGAGAAUCCCGUAUGUGAUCGGUCGCCUUCGCCCGUGUAAAGCUCGUUCGAC